AUAGAAUUUAUAUGCUAUAAAUUGAUAAAGUCAUUUUUAUUUGUUUCGUGCAAAGGAAGAAAAAUAUGGUUAAAAUUAUCAUGUUUGUUUACGUGAAUUUUUUUCUUUCCCUAUUUCUUUUUGGAACGAACAUUAAUGCUAUCUCUGAAUGCGAAGAAGACGGAGAUUGUCCAAGAACUUGGUGUUUUGGGCAGUUUUUUGUUAAGUGUAUUACCAAUGAAUGUAUUUGUGUUCAUGAGGAUAGAUUACUUCCAUGGAUCCCCUAAGAUCCAUGGAUCCCUAUAAUAUAAAUGAUAAAUAUUAUCAAUUAAUGGUCACUUAUUGAUUAAUCACAUCAUUGUUAGACAUUAAAUGCUGCUAGAGAAUAAAUUGGGAUCUCAUGGAUUAGUAGGCAA